rnacentral:rRNA from 1 species
CAAAAACAUGUCUUUUUGAUUAUAAUUUAAAGUCUAACCUGCCCAAUGAGGAGUUAAAUGGCCGCGGUAUUUUGACCGUGCAAAGGUAGCAUAAUCAUUAGUUUUUUAAUUGAAAGCUGGUAUGAAUGGUUGGACGAGAAAACAACUGUCUCAAUUUAAUUUAAAAUAGAAUUUUAUUUAUAAGUUAAAAAGCUUAUAUAAGUUUAAAAGACGAGAAGACCCUAUAGAAUUUUAUAUAAUAUUAUAUAUAUUAUUUUUAGAAUUUUAUUUAUAUAUAUAUAUUAUUAUAUUUUGUUGGGGUGAUGGAAAAAUUUAAUGAACUUUUUUUAUAUUUGAACAUUAAUGUAUGAUUGAAUGAUCCGUUAUUUACGAUUAUAAGAUUAAAUUACCUUAGGGAUAACAGCGUAAUUUUUUUUUAGAGUUCUUAUCGAAAAAAGAGUUUGCGACCUCGAUGUUGGAUUAAAAUUAACUUUUGGUGUAGGAGCU